rnacentral:rRNA from 1 species
UACAGAGGGGGCAAGCGUUGUUCGGAAUUACUGGGCGUAAAGGGCGCGUAGGCGACCUUCUAAGUCGAACGUGAAAUCCCCGGGCUCAACCCGGGAACUGCGUCCGAUACUGGGAGGCUUGAAUCCGGGAGAGGGAUGCGGAAUUCCAGGUGUAGCGGUGAAAUGCGUAGAUAUCUGGAGGAACACCGGUGGCGAAGGCGGCAUCCUGGACCGGCAUUGACGCUGAGGCGCGAAAGCCAGGGGAGCAAACGGG